rnacentral:rRNA from 1 species
UACGUAGGAGACAAACGUUAUCCGGAGUUACUGGGCGUAAAGGGCGUGUAGGUGGUUCUGUAAGUCUGGCGUGAAAUUUCUCGGCUUAACCGUGGCAGGUCGUCGGAUACUGCAGGGCUAGAGGACGGUAGAGGCGUGUGGAAUUCCGGGUGUAGUGGUGAAAUGCGUAGAGAUCCGGAGGAACACCAGUGGCGAAGGCGACACGCUGGGCCGUACCUGACACUGAUGCGCGACAGCAUGGGGAGCAAACAGG